UGGGAUGUUACAUUCGUUGUCAGAGCAACUUCGGCAAUUACACGUCAAUUAAUUUUUAUAAAACUUAAAUUAUUUCAAAACACUUGCAAUAACUUAUGUACAUGCCAUAUUCUAUAAUAAAAAUAUCAAAUUCGUACCCUCUUCAAGCCUUGGUGGUGUGAUGAGAUGAGAUGCGUUGAAACCCUAACUUAAAUCUCGAGCUUCAAUUUGAUCUUCCACCUACGCGUUUAAAAC
rnacentral:lncRNA from 1 species